rnacentral:rRNA from 1 species
GUGGGGAAUAUUGGACAAUGGGGGGAACCCUGAUCCAGCCAUGCCGCGUGUGUGAAGAAGGCCUUUUGGUUGUAAAGCACUUUAAGCGAGGAGGAGGCUACUAGUAUUAAUACUACUGGAUAGUGGACGUUACUCGCAGAAUAAGCACCGGCUAACUCUGUGCCAGCAGCCGCGGUAAUACAGAGGGUGCGAGCGUUAAUCGGAUUUACUGGGCGUAAAGCGUGCGUAGGCGGCUGAUUAAGUCGGAUGUGAAAUCCCUGAGCUUAACUUAGGAAUUGCAUUCGAUACUGGUCAGCUAGAGUAUGGGAGAGGAUGGUAGAAUUCCAGGUGUAGCGGUGAAAUGCGUAGAGAUCUGGAGGAAUACCGAUGGCGAAGGCAGCCAUCUGGCCUAAUACUGACACUGAGGUGCGAAAGCAUGGGGAGCAAACAGGAUUAGAAACCCUAGUAGUCC